GGCUUUAUUCUCUUUUACUGGACAAUGGCUACCUUUAUAUAAAAGAGAAGCUCUUGAGUUUUUUGGCUGGGCUUAAGCCAACAUCCAGGAUGUGUCCUGCUCCUCUUGAGUGAAGAUUUGCGUAGGGUAAUUAUGUGACCCAGUUGUGGCUGUUUAGUUGAAGAAGAAAUCACUGGAGGCUUUUGGAGAAGACUUCCUUGCUGAUGAAAGACAGUUUUGAGAGAAGGUUCUUUCCUACUUAGCUGCUGUUCUGUGAAUGACACUAGGAAAGCCCACUGUGACCUCUGACAACCAACUCAGGACAAAGACUAACAGACAGAGGAAGGCUCAGGUAGCCAUAGAACCGGUGAGCACAUCCCCUGCCUAAACUAACAGCCAGUCUGGAAGUGAAAUGCAAGUCUCCUCUUCCUGAAAGCGCCCCUUGCAGGACACUCAGAGUGGAGAACCCAGUCUCACAGAGGGACGUGGAGGGGAACAGAAGAAGGGAUUUCAGAGCCACCUCAGCAAGCUCAGGGUACUCAUUUUUAACUUUUAUCCAAAAG